AGUGAACGCUGGCGGUAGGCCUAACACAUGCAAGUCGAACGGCAGCACAGUAAGAGCUUGCUCUUACGGGUGGCGAGUGGCGGACGGGUGAGGAAUACAUCAGAAUCUACUUUUUCGUGGGGGAUAACGUAGGGAAACUUACGCUAAUACCGCAUACGACCUACGGGUGAAAGCAGGGGAUCUUCGGACCUUGCGCGAUUGAAUGAGCCGAUGUCGGAUUAGCUAGUUGGCGGGGUAAAGGCCCACCAAGGCAACGAUCCGUAGCUGGUCUGAGAGGAUGAUCAGCCACACUGGAACUGAGACACGGUCCAGACUCCUACGGGAGGCAGCAGUGGGGAAUAUUGGGCAAUGGGCGCAAGCCUGAUCCAGCCAUACCGCGUGGGUGAAGAAGGCCUUCGGGUUGUAAAGCCCUUUUGUUGGGAAAGAAAAGCAGCAGGUUAAUACCCCGCUGUUCUGACGGUACCCAAAGAAUAAGCACCGGCUAACUUCGUG
rnacentral:rRNA from 1 species